UGGGGAAUUUUGGACAAUGGGCGAAAGCCUGAUCCAGCAAUGCCGCGUGUGUGAAGAAGGCCUUCGGGUUGUAAAGCACUUUUGUCCGGAAAGAAAUCCUUGGCUCUAAUACAGUCGGGGGAUGACGGUACCGGAAGAAUAAGCACCGGCUAACUACGUGCCAGCAGCCGCGGUAAUACGUAGGGUGCAAGCGUUAAUCGGAAUUACUGGGCGUAAAGCGUGCGCAGGCGGUUUGCUAAGACUGAUGUGAAAAUCCCCGGGCUCAACCUGGGAACUGCAUUGGUGACUGGCAGGCUAGAGUAUGGCAGAGGGGGGUAGAAUUCCACGUGUAGCAGUGGAAUGCGUAGAGAUGUGGAGGAAUACCGAUGGCGAAGGCAGCCCCCUGGGCCAAUACUGACGCUCAUGCACGAAAAGCGUGGGGAGCAAAACAGGAUUAGAUACCCUGGUAGUCCACGCCCUAAAACGAUGUCAACUAGUUGUUGGGGAUUCAUUUCCUUAGUAACGUAGCUAAACGCGUGAAGUUGACCGCCUGGGGAGUACGGUCGCAAGAUUAAAAACUC
rnacentral:rRNA from 1 species